rnacentral:lncRNA from 10 species
GGUGUCUUCCAAAAUGAGUCUCUUUUUGUUUCUGAAUGACAAUAACCAAGAGUUAUGGGCUGAAUUGUGUCACUCCACAGUUCAUAUAUUGAAGCCCUCACUCCCAGUACCUCAGAAUGUGUCUCUAACUGGAGAUAGAGCCUUUAAACAGGUAAUUAUGUUAAAAUGAGGCCAUUAGGGUGAAUCCUUAUCUAAUAUGACUUGUGACUUUAUAGAAACAAUGAAUUCCGGAAAGGAGAUGGAGCAAGAUGGCCUAAUAGAAGCCUUCACUGAUUGUCUACCCUGCAGGAACACCAAAUUAAACAACUAUCCACACAAGAAAGCACCCUCAGAACAACCAAAAAUCAGAAAAAGCUGGCUGCCCUCUGUUCUAAACUCUUAAAUUUGUGGAUCAGCUCAUGGAAUCAACUUAAGUGUCCAUAACGGAUGGAUUGGAUAAAGAAAAUGUGGUACAUAUGCACCAUGGAAUACUACACAGACAUUAAAAAAAAUCACGUCCUUGUCAGCAACAUGGAUGCAGCUGGAGGUCAUUAUCCUAAGUGAAUCAACACAGAAACAGAACAUCAAACACUGCAUUUUCUCGUAAGUGGAAGCUGAACUGUGGGUACACAGGAACAUAAAGAUGAAAAUAAUAGACACUGGGGGCUCUAAAAGUGGGGAGAGAAAGAGGAGGACAAGGGUUGAAAAACUACCUAUUGAGUAUCUAUGUUCACUCUUUGGGUGAUGGGUUCACCAGAAUCCCAAAUGCCAGCAUUAUGCAAUACACCCAUGCAAUAAACCUGCACAUGUACCCCUGAAUUUGUAAUAAAAAUUUGAACAUCAUCA